CUCACCACGGCUCGCCCUCGGCAUCCUCUCCCCACCACGGCUCGCCCCGCAGCCCCCCACCUCCGAUACGACCUCGCGCUGCCACCAACGCUUCCGGUCUCCCCUGUAUCGACGCUGCCGCCGGUGUCCAACCUCAGCGACGACGCCAGCCUGCCCGACACAGCUCCUGGCCGCGGCGGCCUAGAACGCCGAGGUAUAGAAGCCUGCUCCGGCUGCCAAGCUGCCGCCCAACCUGCUCAGGCUGGGGGUUCCAUAUGAUACAAGACUCAAAGGUCUAGAUGAUGACAGAGGAACCAAAGGUCUACCACAGGAUGCUUCAAGGUCUCAUUUUAAAAGGUCAACAGAAUCUUCUAAUUAUGGUACUCGUAAUAAUUGAAUAUGUGGGGAGAGUUGGUGUUUCCCGUGAGCUAGCUUUCUACACGCAGCCGGCGGCUUGAUGUUAAGGUAAAGAAAAUCUUAUCAAAGUUCGUACCUGAUAAAAGUUCGCUGGCUUGGUGGCGAGGACCUCAACGUGGCGACGGCGGCAACCUGCGCUCGUAUCCGUGGGUCAGCAGAGGAGAGCAGCAGGCGAGCAGCGGCCACGGUGCCCCGUGCUCACGUCCGUGGGGCAGCAGAGGUGGAGCGGACGGUGGUGCUGGAGACCCUCAUUCACAUCCAUGAGGCGGCAGUGGAGAGCAGCAAGUGGCGGACGACGGCCUGUGCUCGCGUCCUUGGGACAGUAGAGAAGGAGCGAACGGCGGCGUCUGAGUCCUGUUUUUGCGUCCGUGCAGUAGCAGAAGAGGAGCAGACAGCGACAUCGAUCCGCGCUUGCGCCCAUGGGGGAGCAGCCAGUAGGAGGAGCGGUGGGCGGUGGCGGCGAUAUGCGUUCACGUCCGUGGGGCAUGAGGCAGGAGAGACAAAGUGUCAGAGAGAAGAUUACGGGAUAGAAAUCCCUUAUCCCUGCUAAUUGAGGACGAGUGGGACGCGUUUGCUGGCAGAACAUUUAAUCUGAAUCGUUCAUUUGCGUGGUAGACUCUUGAUGUAAUAUGGUCUGUUAGAUGUGAUUUAGUUGGAUUAAUCAAACGUCUUUAGUAAUCCUGUGUACACUUUAUGGUGUGUCUGUAGGGGAAUUCAUGUUUGGUCUUUUAAUAGUAGUAUAGAUAUAGAAGAGGACCGAUGACCAGACCACCAGAUGGUGCCUAUGGGAUUGAGACCUGAAAAGGAAACAAGUAAAAGUGAAAUCAUGUGUGUA